GACGAACCGUGCAAACGUUAUUCGGAAUCACUGGGCUUAAAGCGCGUGUAGGCGGGCCGGCACGUCGGUCGUUGAAAUCCCCCGGCUCAACCGGGGAAGCGGCGCCGAUACGACCGGCCUCGAGGGACGUAGGGGGGGCUGGAACUUCCGGUGGAGCGGUGAAAUGCGUUGAGAUCGGAAGGAACGCCCGUGGCGAAAGCGAGCCCCUGGACGUCUACUGACGCUGAGACGCGAAAGCCAGGGGAGCGAACGGG
rnacentral:rRNA from 1 species